rnacentral:rRNA from 1 species
UGGGCGUAAAGGGCUCGCAGGCGGUUUCUUAAGUCUGAUGUGAAAGCCCCCGGCUCAACCGGGGAGGGUCAUUGGAAACUGGGGAACUUGAGUGCAGAAGAGGAGAGUGGAAUUCCACGUGUAGCGGUGAAAUGCGUAGAGAUGUGGAGGAACACCAGUGGCGAAGGCGACUCUCUGGUCUGUAACUGACGCUGAGGAGCGAAAGCGUGGGGAGCGAACAGGAUUAGAUACCCUGGUAGUCCACGCCGUAAACGAUGAGUGCUAAGUGUUAGGGGGUUUCCGCCCCUUAGUGCUGCAGCUAACGCAUUAAGCACUCCGCCUGGGGAGUACGGUCGCAAGACUGAAACUCAAAGGAAUUGACGGGGGCCCGCACAAGCGGUGGAGCAUGUGGUUUAAUUCGAAGCAACGCGAAGAACCUUACCAGGUCUUGACAUCCUCUGACAAUCCUAGAGCUAGGACGUCCCCUUCGGGGGCAGAGUGACAGGUGGUGCAUGGUUGUCGUCAGCUCGUGUCGUGAGAUGUUGGGUUAAGUCCCGCAACGAGCGCAACCCUUGAUCUUAAUUGCCAGCAU